rnacentral:rRNA from 1 species
UACGGAGGGUGCAAGCGUUUGUCCGGAAUCACUGGGCAUAAAGGGCGCGUAGGCGGCUCAUGAAGGCUGUGGUGAAAGUCCGGGGCUCAACCUCGGAUCGGCCGUGGCGACUCGUGGGCUGGAGCACUGUAGAGGCGGGUGGAAUUCCGGGUGUAGCGGUGGAAUGCGUAGAGAUCCGGAAGAACACCAAGGCGAAGGCAGCUCGCUGGGACGUGACUGACGCUGAGACGCGAAAGCGUGGGGAGCAAACAGGG